rnacentral:rRNA from 1 species
CCUACGGGAGGCAGCAGUGGGGAAUAUUGCACAAUGGGGGAAACCCUGAUGCAGCGACGCCGCGUGAGUGAAGACGUAUCUCUGUAUUUUAAGCUCUAUCAGUAGGGAAGAAAACGACGGUACCCGAUUAAGAAGCCCCGUCUAACUACGUGCCAGCAGCGGCGGUAACACGUAGGGGGCAAGCGUGAUCCGGCUUUACUGGGUGUAAAGGGAGCGUAGACGGUGAUGCAAGUCAGAAGUGAAAGCCCGGGGCUCAACGUCGGGACUGCUUUUGAAACUGUGUGACUGGAGUGCAGGAGCGGUAAGCGGAAUUCAUGGUGUAGCGGUGAAAUGCGUAGAUAUCAGGAGGAACACCAGUGGCGAAGGCGGCUUACUGGACUGCAACUGACGUUGAGGCUCGAAAGCGUGGGGAGCAAACAGGAUUAGAUACCCCUGUAGUC